rnacentral:ncRNA from 22 species
GGUUCCGAGGAGCGCUGCGACGGUUCACCCGCCAGGCUCGGGACGCUUCCUUUCAACGGCGCUCACGUUUU